CUCCUGCCUCUCGAGCGCGUGAGAAGCCGAACCCAUUUUCGCGCCCGGGUGGUCCAUCAUCAAGCGCGUAUCUGAGGCGAUAGUUACAGACCGGAGAGAGCGACGGGUGUCGCCGGAUUCGCCAGAGGAGGACGUGAACGGCAAAGGAGGGUUUCGACGAAGAUCACGGGACGACUCCAGGGGGAAGGACGACCGAAUCCCUGGAACAUCUGCACGCUCGCCGAGCGUUCGGGGCGUCGCGCCUUCGCUGGUCCCCGUGGAUUGGCCACAGACCCCAGACACCUCGCUGCCCACAGUGUCGUUACCACCGGUUUCUCCUCGCCGAUCCUUGGUUGUGGUCAUCUUAUCUUCACCCCGCGCGUCUCCCUCCGUUACGCCCCUCUGGCUUGUCAACAGCUCCUUCGUUCCUGUUGUUUGCCGACGUGCCUCGGAGUCCUGCGGUUGUUCCUUUCGUGUCGGAUCCUGUGUUCCGCGACUGCCAUCUCCCGCGCCUCCGCCGGCUUGGUUAUGACGUUCACCUUCCCGAAAUGUGUCGCCUCCCUCGCGUAACAUGGCAGUCUCAUGCGAAGUAGGUUUCGAUCGCGAAGGAUACUCUUGCGACUGAAGAAGCGUCGGAUCAAAGCAGCCCCAUACUUCUUCUGCAGUGAACUGUUGAAGCCUUGCGGACCGUCUCCGCCUAACCGGACUCCCCCCCCCUUCCUCAUUCGCCCCUGUCAUCCGUGAAGAGGCUUUUCUACCCAAGGCCGCUACUGCGUCACGAAGUAACGCAGCAGUUUCCGUAAAACAACAUACUGCCAGGGCAUCGGUACCAGGUAAGAGAGAAGGAUUUCCAUCAGAGCUGACAACAGGAGGCACUGGCUUUCCGGUAGUCGCCUUCGGCUGUCCCUGCGGCUGACCCUUCCGACGGCUAGCCUUCGUGGUGACCGGUUCAAAGUCCCUGGAUACGUCUUCCUCAUCGGAAGCAGAAAAUGCGAUUUCGUCCAGAGAAAGUACAGCAGGAACCGAAUCAUCCGGGGCGGCCGUUGCGCCACCCCCACGAAUCCAGUGAUUCUCACUGUUUGAUCGUGUUCGGUGUUUUCCCUGCUUAGUCCUUCCAGAGGACCCUCCAUUUUCGGAUCCGGAAGAGGGGCAACCAGACGUGAAAGCAGGCGUCGGAGUUGCCGUGUCGCCGUCUGGCGCCCGUGUAGCGACGAUGCCUGCCUGACGGUUUCGCUGCGCAAGCGUGCAACCAGCGGAGCGAUCCCCCAUUUCCCUUCUGAGGGAACUGUCCGCUCUCUGCAACCGAAGUUUCUUGAGAGUCGGCUCCUCCGUCAUUCGACGUGUUUCUCGCCUGCCUGUUGGGUGAGGCAAAGCACUUUCUUCCCGUUGCUCCUCGGCUUCUUUAUGGCGGCCACGGGACUGCUUCCUGAGCUCACGUCGUCGAGUGCAAUUUCUGUUAGAAUGCCUAGCAGCCGCAUCUAAUGACUUUUGAGAGUGAUCGCGCAGCGCCGAUUCCGUCUGCUUACCGAAAGAUCCCCCUUUGCCUGGGUCUCGAAUCCUCUCCGCGUCAUGGCGAGGACCACUCUCGUCUUCGCUGGUGGCUUCGGCGGCGAGGAAGUUUCCAAUCGACGUUUUGCGUGCAUCUUGCCUCUUCCCAGCCCAGCGCGCCUCAGCGCUUGAGGCAACUCCAACCUUCCCUGGGAUAUGUCCUGGCACUUUUUUCGCAGAGCGAUUUGGGCCAGCGAUGGACGAAAGGCAGCAAGGCAAUGGCUUGGGAAGGCCCGCCGCACCACUGUGUCCUGGAGACGCUGUCGCGGCAACAGUCACGGGGGACAAACGAUCACCUGCAAGUGCUUCAUUUGAUACCGAGAAUGCAUCCAAAGGUCGGCGUGCUUGCUCCGUAGGUUUAUGCGGUCCUGACACUUGAACUCUAGCGCAAGACUUGAAGCCACCGGCGCCGUCAUUGGCUGCAGAAAGUGCGGUCCCGCGGGGGCCCUGUAUCGCUUCUUGAGAAAUGUUUCGUGACGCGUUCAAAACUGACGAAGUGGCCGACGGACUUGUAUCGGUUGUGGCCGGCGCCACGACAUCUUGACUACACGACAUGGUAGUGCUGCAUCCGCUAUGAGAGAGCACUGGCGCGUUCACACCUUGUGAGACAAUGAAACAGAUACCAGUGAUUCGAGGAGUUUGCGCAAAAUGUGGGCGCCGGAUGCAGUUGAAAGGA
rnacentral:lncRNA from 1 species